UUCGGGGNGANNNCGGNGGAGGNNANGGCCUUUGAGGUUUGANUAAGNNAUGGGAGUNGAGAGGUUNAAGAANUCGGNGUANUGGUNAGUAANANGUGGAUAAUCUGCCCUGAAGUGGAGAAUAAUCCCGGGAAACUGGGGGUAAUACUCCAUAGUUCGUUAUUACUGGAAUGUUUUUCGAACGAAAGAUCCGUCGCUUCAGGAUGAGUCUGCGGCCGAUUAGGUAGUUGUUGGGGUAAUUGCCCAACAAGCCUGUAAUCGGUACGGGUUGUGGGAGCAAGAGCCCGGAGAUGGAUUCUGAGACACGAAUCCAGGCCCUACGGGGCGCAGCAGGCGCGAAAACUUUACCAUGCGGGCAACCGUGAUAAGGAAACCCCGAGUGCCAGCACAGGCUGGCUGCCCGCCAGUUUAAACAACUGGCGAAGAAAGGGCCGGGCAAGACCGGUGCCAGCCGCCGCGGUAAUACCGGCGGCUCGAGUGGUGGCCGCUAUUACUGGGCUUAAAGGGUCCGUAGCUUGAUAAUAGGGUCCCUUGAGAAAUCCGCCGGCUUAGCUGGCGGGCGUUCAGGGGAAACUUGUUUUCUAGGGACCG
rnacentral:rRNA from 1 species